rnacentral:lncRNA from 1 species
UCUAUUUGAUUUAUGAAUCCAAUGAAUGCAAGCCCUAUUGCUUUGAAUCCAAGUUAAUUUUAGUAGCAGAUUUUGAAUCAUUCUAUCAGCUAGAUAGCAUACAGAUAUCAUUCGAGCUUUUGUCAAGCAUCACAAGAUUUGAUCUUUAUUGAUUUCUAUUAAAUUAGUAUAUUUUAAGUGAUUCUGAUUAAAUGGAGCUAUUUGAUCAAAUUGACCAUUAAUUGCUAAUUAGUAUACCGACCCUCACUUUGACUUGUGUCGGACACUAAUAUAUUUGAUCAUCC